rnacentral:sRNA from 1 species
GGGGUGGAAGGGACCACAUCCAGCAGGCUGAGAGGGCAAGGAGUUGGUGCACACCUACAAGGGCUGCAUCAGGUCCCAGGACUGCUACUCUGGCGUCAUAUCCACCACCAUGGGCCCCAAGGACCACAUGGUAACCAGCUCCUUCUGCUGCCAGAGCGACGGCUGCAACAGUGCCUUUUUGUCUGUUCCCUUGACCAAUCUUACUGAGAAUGGCCUGAUGUGCCCCGCCUGCACUGCAAGCUUCAGGGACAAAUGCAUGGGGCCCAUGACCCACUGUACUGGAAAGGAAAACCACUGUGUCUCCUUAUCUGGACACGUGCAGGCUGGUGAGUGGUGCCUGGAUCUCUGGAAAAGGAAACAGAACUAGAGGCCCAAACUUCUAGGUUCCAUGGGAGGAGAGGGUUCCAGAGAAGUGGGUGAGGAUGUGUUCUGGGAUUAUGAGGAAGAAGGGGCUGAGGUCCCUGAUUCCAGUCUGAAAUCUCCCUUUCAGGUAUCUUCAAACCCAGAUUUGCUAUGCGGGGCUGUGCUACAGAGAGUAUGUGCUUCACCAAGCCUGGUGCUGAAGUGCCCACAGGCACCCAUGUCCUCUUCCUCCAACAUAUAGAGUGCACUCACUCCCCCUGAAAAGCUAUCUGAACAGAGGAAGAUAUAUGUAGUGUGAAGUCCCCAUUUGUCCUCAGCCUGUAACUCCCCAUGUGCCUAUAAAGAAGUUAAUGGAGCAAGCCUGAGUCCUUGUGGUGUGAUGUAUCUUGAGGAGAUAGAAUGCAGGAAAUAGGGGGUCUCAAUCCUCAUUUCAAAUCCUCUCCUUUUGAGGAAGAGAGGGAAGGCCCUGCCUUCUUUCUUUCUUUCUUUCUUUUUUUCAGACAGGGUCUCACUCUGUCACCCAGGCUGGAGUGCAGUGGUGCAUUCAAGGCUCACUGCAGCCUCGACCUCCCGGGCUCAGGUGAUUCUCCCACCUCAGCCUCCCUAGUAGCUGGGACUACAGGCAUGCACCACCGUGCUCGGUGAUUCUCCCACCUCGGCUUCCCUAGUAGCUGGGACUACAAGCGUGCACCACCACCACUGGCUAAUUUUUUAUUUUUUGUAGCAACAGGAUUUCACUACGUUGCCCAGGCUGGUCUUGAACUCCUGGGCUCAAGUGAUCCUUGGCCUCCCAAAGUGCUGGGAUGACAGGUGUGAGCCACCAUGCCUGGUGGCCCCGCCUUUUAUGAAGGGAUUACUCUUUGCCAGGUCCCUGUGCUGUGUUUUCCAUGCUAUACCUCAUUUCAUGAUCAUAACAACUCUGUGAGGUUGAUAUUAUUAUCCCCACUCUACAGAUGAACAAACUGAGGCAUAGAUUGUGGGUGUCAUUUGCCUUGGGCUAAACAACUAGGGAGGGUCAGAACCUUGAUUUGAACCCAAGUCUGGUAUACUUCAGACUCCAUGAUCAUCCCUCUCAAUUAACUGCUUCCUCUUUUCGCCUCAGUGUUCAUGUCUGCAAAAUGUAGAUAUUAAUAGUUAUAACUUCAUAAGGUUGUUGUAAGAGUCAAAUGAAAGACAACUUAAAAAGUGCUUAGUGCAAUGCCUAGCACCUUUAAGACCAUGUGGAUUCUAAAGACAAUGUAUGCCUGAGUAAACAGUAAUCAUCAUAAUAGCUGCCAUUUACUGAGUGGCCAUUAGUUGACAGGUGCUAAACAUUGACAUCAAUUGGGACAGACUAGAUGAUGUUACAGUAACAAAACAAGUCCCUGAUCUCAGUGGUUUAAAACAACAAAGUUGUAUUAACUAACACUGUAAUAAUGCUGUGUAACAAAUCAUCCUAAAACUGAGACUUUUUUUUUUUUUUGAGACAGUCUUACUCUGUCUCCCAGGCUGGAGUGCAGUGAAACCAUCACAGUUCACUGCAGACUCAACCUCAUGGGCUGAAUUGAUUCUCCCCGCUCAGCCUCCCUGGUAGCUGGGACUACAGGCAUGCGCCACCACACCCAGCUAUUUCCUGUGUUUUUUUUUUUGUAGAGACAGCAUUUCCCCAUGUUACCCAGGCUGGUCUCAAACUCCUGGGUUCAAGUGAUCCACCCACCUUGGCCUCCCAACAUAAAAACUGAGACUUAUACCAACAAGCAUUCUUAUAAGAGUUUGUGGGAUGGCUGCUUUGGCUGCAGUUUGGGAGGAUUCAGGUCUCUUCCAUGAGAUUCCACAACUUCCUGGGAUCAACAGCUCCCUGGCAAAUGUUCUCACGGCACAUCACGGGAGCACAAAAGCCAAGUACAUUUAAGGCCCUUGCUAAGGUUAGGUCUGCUAAAAUUCCAUUAAGUAAAUCAUAUGGUCAAACCCAUCAGUGGAGCAGGGAAAUAUAUUCCCCAUCCAGUGGAAGGGAGAGGAGUGGAUAUUUGCUGAAUGACUGCCCAUUCACAAAAGGUUAACUUUUCCUUCACCCUAGCACUAUCCAGAGGGUGUUUUGCUCAUCGUAGUCAUAAAUCAGCCACCGGCAGGGCACAAUGGCUCACGCCUGUCAUCCCAGCACUUUGGGAGGCCGAGGCAGGAGGACCGCUUGAGCCCAGGAAUUUGAGACCAGUCUGGGCAACAUGGUGAAACCCCGUCUCUACAAAAAUAC